AUGAAUCUCUUGAUUCGCUUGAAGAGACUGACGUUCCUUACAUUCACAUCAACGGUGGCGGCUGUUUUUUGUCAACUGAUGAAGACAUUGAACUUGUCCAAAAGGCUUUUCCACAAAAAGCUGGCCAAUUCUUAAAGGAAAAGGAACUCAAAGACAUGAAGAAGUCGCAGAGAAAGAAAUCAAACUUAUCAUCUGAAAGAACACCCGAAAACUCAGAAUCAUCUGCAGCAUCACGAUGCGUGCAGGUAAGUAUUACCGAAUUCUAUCGUUCCUCCAAAGCCGUUUGCCCAAACAAGCUUGAGGAGACUGCGGUAAACAGUUGUGGUUCCUCCAAGACCAAAAGAAAAGAUCCAAGUCCAAGAUUUUCCAAGUCCGUCAGGCGCCGGCUGUUGUUUGAUUAGUUCAGGCUCAGCUAUCUUGAGGCCAUUCAUCAUCUGUAAAUUUGAGUAACAUACAGCUAGUGUUGGUUUCUCUUUUGGCCUUUUUGAUACUCCUUGGAAGUGUAAAUAGCAUCUAUAUGGCAAUCAGCUGUUUAAGCCUGACAAGGUUUUGUUAAUAUUUCUAUUAGUGCUGCUCUUUGUAUGUGUAUGAAAAUUGUUACAUUUGUUAACUUCUUGAGCUGUCUCUA